GAUGAACGCUAGCGGCAGGCCUAAUACAUGCAAGUCAAGGGGUAGCAAUACACCGGCGGACGGGUGCGUAACGCGUACACAACGUACCUCAGAGCGGGGGAUAGCAUUGGGAAACUGGUGGUAAAACCCCCAUGGUGUUGUUGAAUGGCAUCAUUUAACAACUAAAGGUUACACUCUGAGAUCGGUGUGCGUCUGAUUAGCUAGUUGGUGGGGUAACGGCCCACCAAGGCGACGAUCAGUAGGGGGUGUGAGAGCAUGACCCCCCCACAUGGGUACUGAGACACGGACCCAACUCCUACGGGAGGCAGCAGUAAGGAAUAUUGGACAAUGGGCGAAAGCCUGAUCCAGCCAUGCCGCGUGAAGGAUGAAGGCGCUCAGCGUUGUAAAACUUCUUUUUGGACGGGAACAAUAUCCCCGACUUGUCGGGG
rnacentral:rRNA from 1 species